AUACGGAGGGUGCAAGCGUUGUUCGGAAUCACUGGGCGUAAAGGGCGCGCAGGCGGUUUUACAAGUCAGACGUGAAAGCCCACGGCUCAACCGUGGAAGUGCAUUUGAAACUGUAAGACUUGAGUAUCAGAGGGGAAGGUGGAAUUCCCGGUGUAGAGGUGAAAUUCGUAGAUAUCGGGAGGAAUACCGGUGGCGAAGGCGAAUUUCUGGCUGAAUACUGACGCUGAGGCGCGAAAGCGUGGGGAGCAAACAGGAUUAGAAACCCUUGUAGUCC
rnacentral:rRNA from 1 species